CCUACGGGAGGCUGCAGUGAGGAAUAUUGGUCAAUGGACGAGAGUCUGAACCAGCCAAGUAGCGUGAAGGAUGACUGCCCUAUGGGUUGUAAACUUCUUUUAUAAAGGAAUAAAACGAGGCACGUGUGCCUUUUUGCAUGUACUUUAUGAAUAAGGCUCGGCUAACUCCGUGCCAGCAGCCGCGGUAAUACGGAGGAUCCGAGCGUUAUCCGGAUGUAUUGGGUUUAAAGGGAGCGUAGAUGGGUUGUUAAGUCAGUUGUGAAAGUUUGCGGCUCAACCGUAAAAUUGCAAUUGAUACUGGCAGUCUUGAGUACAGUUGAGGUAGGCGGAAUUCGUGGUGUAGCGGUGAAAUGCUUAGAUAUCACGAAGAACCCCGAUUGCGAAGGCAGCUUACUAAACUGUGACUGACAUUGAUGCUCGAAAGUGUGGGUAUCAAACAGGAUUAGAUACCCCUGUAGUC
rnacentral:rRNA from 1 species